rnacentral:lncRNA from 1 species
UCGGGAGCCACUUCCAAGAAGUGUUUGAGUCCCUGCUCAUCCCCACUCUGGAAUUCCUGGGAUUUUCCAUCUCUGGGAAUGAAGAUUUUGCUCCAAAUCUGGGAUUUUUUUGGGAAUUUUGCUGCUUCCCCCUCUCCAGGAUCCACGGGGGAGUCAGGGCUGAACCUCCCCCAGGCAUUUUUUGGGGUUUUUUUUCCCCAAUCCCAAAAAAUCCUGGAAAAUCCUAUUUGAGUGUUCAGCAACUCUGGCAAAAAUGGGGAUUUCUCCCAUGGAAUGUGAGCAGGGAGGGAGUGAAGGUGUUUUUAGUGUGUUUAAAGGAGUUUUUUUCUGAAAUAUUUUGAUUUUUUUUUUUUUAAUUGCAUGUCAAUGAUCAGCCUGGCUGGGCUGGGGGUGGAAUGAAUCCAAAAUCCCCCUUUGGAUCCAAAAAUCCAGGAUUUGGGCAGGGAGAAGCCCCUGGAGCCACCUCAAAAUCCCAGCUGGGGGAAACCAGAGGGAAUUUUUUAAAAAUCCAAAAUGGAUUUAAAUCCAAUUUUUGGCUCCUGGGGGAUGAGGAGCCCCCCUGGAACGUUGGGGAGACGGAAAAAAUCAUGGAAAAAAAGUGAUUUUUUUUGGUCGAGGCUCCAUGGAAUUCAUGUGGUUCGUGUCACUCGUGAGGAAUAAAAACCAUUUGGACACUUUGGUUGUUAUCCCUGCGUGCUCAGAGCCCUGCCUGCUUUACAGAAUAUUUUUCAUCGCUUGGAUGCUUCAUUUUGAGGCAGUGACCCGAGCAGGAGCUGAGCUGGUCCCUUGGUGCAGCAGUUUUGGGGCUGGGGACACAGCCCAGGUGUGCAGGAGGAGCAGGUGAGGAGUUCCCCAGAUGUUCCUGGGGCUUCCUUUCCCUCAGGGCUGCUCCAGCCCCAUUCAUGCUGGAUGUGGGGGCAGAUUUGGGUUAAAUACGGAGGGAAAAGGGAAAAAACCUGAGGUUAAAGGGUUUCUGAGAGGAGCCAGGUGUGUUCCAGAGGUGUGAGCUCUGGAAAAGGAGGAUUUUAUCCCUUCCCUCUGCCCUGGCACAGGCGUGGCUGUGCCUGGACCCAGAUUUUGGGCUUGGUCACACCUGCAGUGAGUCAGUGUCACCUGAUGGGCUCUGAAUUCCUCUCUUUGUCCCUUAGAGACAAAGAAUUGGGGUGGCAGCACAUGAGGAAUGGCUUGUCCCCAUUGCCAGGGGCUGGGAUGGAUGAGAGGUUGGGGAGGCAAUAAAUGGG